rnacentral:rRNA from 1 species
UACGGAGGGUGCAAGCGUUAAUCGGAACUACUGGGCGUAAAGCGUGCGCAGGCGGUUUGUUAAGUCUGCUGUGAAAUCCCCGAGCUCAACUUGGGAAUUGCAGUGGAUACUGGCAAGCUGGAGUACGGUAGAGGAAGGUGGAAUUCCCGGUGUAGCAGUGAAAUGCGUAGAGAUCGGGAGGAACACCAGUGGCGAAGGCGGCCUUCUGGACCAGUACUGGCGCUCAUGCACGAAAGCGUGGGGAGCAAACAGG